CCCUCCCUCUCUCCGGACUCCUCUUUCCCCUGGUGUUCUCAGAGAAGAAAAAAAAAAAAUUUUUUUAAGUUGCAGAACCAAGGGCUGCUGAAAAGAGAGAGGGAAGGGGGGGAAAAAAAGAAAGAAAAAAACUCCACUUUGCCUAUGCGCAUGCGUGAUGAGGCCGGCCUAUGACAAACUCCACAGGAUUUUAAAGCCGUACCACGGGCUGGGGUGCAGGGGGCGGGAUGCAAUCCCUGCUCGAGCCCCCUUCUCUGGGCUCCCCAUCCCCCCAGCAUCUGCCGAAAGAGAGAGGUCCCCUCCGCAGCCGCCGCCUGCCAGCCGCAGCUCUCUUCGCUCCUUCCAAAACCAAAGACCUGCAGGAGGCUGAACCCCAACUUCCCGGGCUGGACUCUCUGGCUUGCCUGUCCCAGGCCGCUUGCACUGGGGCUGCUGCGCUGGCAGGGAACCUCUUGGAAGACCUCCUCUGCAUUCUUACCCCUGGGGUCCCUAAGACUGGGGGGAGGGGGGUGCUGGGGAAUAGGGUAGGCUCACACAGCCUGCAGCACCCCGGUGUAGUAGAUUUGGGUACCUGGGUGCAAGAUUGAGCAUCUGACUGGGACCCUGGCGCAUCCAGAUACAACGCGUGGUCUUGCCCAGUGGAUCUUGGUGAGUGCCCUCAGAUGCCGGCCAGUGUGUGGACUCUUCAUGCCAUUGCUGUGUUUCAUCCUUGCUGCUUCAUAAGGGACUCCCCGUUCACCAGAUGAAGCCUCAGCAAGUCAACCUGCCUGGACGGCUCAUCACGGUGCGCCCCUGCCUCUGCUGUUCCCUCUGCCUGAAAUGCUGUUCCUCUGGCCUGGGCACCCUCACUCCAUCAGGUAAGAAGCAAGAACAGCCCCCCUGCAUGACCUGGAAAGCCAGCCAGGAGGACACAUUCAGAUGAGUGCUACGAUGGACUUGCCCUAGGAGAAAAAGAGCAUCCUGGCAUCUCAAGGCUGAUUAAGACUGUGAACAUCUCUUCUUGUCAGUUGCAGCCGCAUGACUCUGAAUUUGUAAUAACAAACCAGUAAAUGAGAAAAAUUUUAAGAGAGAUGCAUAACAGCCAAAUAUCCAAAUAAAAAGGCCAGAAUUUAACUAUCUAGUCAAUUACUUGGUCUUCCUGACAACAAACUGCGCACCAAACAUCUAAGAAGCUGAUGGCAUUUUUUAACUUUUCAAGAAUGUUCUGACAUCGUAACAAUUUCACAUCUUAUAGAAUUUUAACUGGAGUGGCUCUAAUACAAUAUCUUACUUCUAUGCAAAUAUUCUCAACCUAUUUGAAAGGGACCACAAAUAAUUCUAGAUAGCAGAAUUAAAUCCCAAGUCUUUUUAAUUUUGUGUACUUUGCCCCUAUAAUUACCAAUGCUCAGUAAAGUGACACUGUUAUGAUUUCCCAAACCUGUCUCAAUAAAUCAGUGAAUUUUGGAUAAAA